rnacentral:ncRNA from 1 species
AAUCUUCAGGGCAGGGUGCAAGUCCCUACCGGCGGUAAAGCCCGCGAGCCGUAAGGCAUGAUUCGGUGAAACUCCGAAGCCGACAGUACAGUCUGGAUGAGAGAAGAA